CUGGUGUUAGUGGAUUUUUCUUCCAGAAGCUGAAAUUGGGCAACCCUCAAGCCGGGAGUGGAACGAGCAGUGAGAUGUGAUUGCCUGGUGUGCGAGGCAGCCAAAAUACACAGCGACAUCCCUAUCGCUUCAUCUCCCAUCAGGGGUGAACGCCUCUGCUCUCCCCUGUGUGCUCUCCAGCCUGCGUAACACUGACGUUGUGCUGGGCCAGCUGAGUAGGAUAUGGGCAGGAUCAGGCCAGACCGGAUGGGGUUCCCAUGGCUGAUUCCUCUGGGGAAGAUGCUGGAUGCGGCAUGGUUCUUGAGGAGAGCUGAAGAAAGAAGGGGACUGCAGGAAUUCACAGUCCAAAAUGAUGACCAAGACUUCCCUGUGAGGGCCUUGACUUCUGCCAUCCCACCCCUGUGGCGGUUCUCCAUGGAAGACCAACAGCAUCUCCCAAAUCUUUCCUAUUGCUCUGAAGAAUAACAGGUAGCUUGCUCCUUGAGCAGUCAGCUUGCUCUUGACACGAUUGCUCUUGGACAAUCAUCUGAGGGCCACUAAUGUCCUGCAAAUCGCAUCUUUCACAUUUUGCAGCAUAUCCCCUUACGGUUCCUCAUGCCCUUGGCUCAGUGUUGGGAUGUUGGAGCUGGAGUGGUGCUGUUGUGCAGCCAGCCUGGCUCCUUUAGCUAACACAAAUCGUGGUUGUCAGGUGCAGUCUGGGAAAACAACAUUUCCAAUUCAAAACAGUGGAUUUCUGAGGUAGGAAAUUCCUGCCCCAUCAAGGACGCAGUAUCUAUCUUCACAGAAGGAUUUCUUUUUGGUUAGAGUAAUCCAUCGUGGCCAUUAGAGCAUCUUUCUUUGUUAACGUCUUGGUGUUGGGGUGAAGCUGAUCAGCCCAAAGGGGCAAAGACAUACUUGGUGAGAUAUCAGCCCAUUGUCUGAUAGUAUGUCUCUGAAGCACCACCAGUGAAGUGUAAAGGCAAUCUGUGGAUGUCAUCAGAGCUGACAGCUCUUUUCAGAGGACAUAUUUAUUUCUUGAUGCUCAGCUUCCAUGUUUACGUGUAAAUCAAUCACAAUUCUUCUUGGAGGAGCUAUAAAUAACACCAAGAGCAAAAAUAUGUUUUCCAGUGGGUUCUUCUUCUUUAAUCCAUGGUAUUAAGCAUGGUUUUCAGGAUAGACCCUUCUCAGGGGCACCCAGAGUCAUAGAAUGGUUGGGUUGGAAGAGACCUCACAGCCCAUCCAAUCCCAACCCCGGCCAUGGGCUGGGCUUUGUUCCUCUAAAAGGGUAUUUUUGUGUUCUGUGCCAGCAUGGACGGUUCACCCUCACUCUAGGCAUGACUGUGGGACAGCUCUCUGUCCCGGGUGCCCCAUGCCAUGUUGAUGUCUGUGGGCUUCCCAGGUUCCCCCUGCCCAAGCAGGAGCAGCCAGGGAAGGAUGGAAACAGUGACCAAGCGAUUCCAAUGUGCUUCAGCAGAAACAAAACAUCGUUUCCAUCGGAAAGUAUUUCAAGGUGCUUCAGACUUCCAAGAUGAAACAAAAUCUUCCCUUGCAAAAAUGUCAGUUCCAGCCAUUGUUCCAGUUUGACUUGUGCGUUCCAAGGAAAACAAAUAGACUUUGACUUGCGAUGUCUCAUGUUGAGAUGGCCAAUUCAAACCAAGCCCUGUCUGCUACACCUUGAGCAUUAGGAGAGGAUCUUGUUGUGAUGGAAAACACUCUUGUUUUUAUUCCAGCCCUUCUGAACAGCACUUUCUGUACCACAG
ensembl:lncRNA